rnacentral:rRNA from 1 species
UUGAUUACGUCCCUGCCCUUUGUACACACCGCCCGUCGCUGUCCGGGACUGAGCUGUUUCGAGAAGAGUGGGGACUGCUAUAUCGGGGCUUUCGGGCUCUGGUAUGAUGGAAACCAUUUUAAUCGCAAUGGCUUGAACCGGGCAAAAGUCGUAACAAGGUAUCUGUAGGUGAACCUGCAGAUGGAUCAUCGUCGAUACCUUAUAGGUACAUGCUGAUCACGAGAUGCCGAUAAUCAUGGAAUCAGGCUUGUUCUUGGUUCCAGUCGGUGUCUCACCCCAUCUAAGCUCUCGGUGAGGUGUCUAUUCUUGAUUGGAGCCGCUUUGAGUGACGGCAAUGAUAGUUGGGUAUGUUCCCCGUGAGGGUAGAGCAUAGACUUUAUGAACAGAGCUGGGCUGUCGCCUCACCAAAAACCAUCGAUAACUGGUGGCUGAGUGAGAAAUCACUGGAUCUGCUAUGCAGGGAGCCUUAAUGAGUUGGUCUUCACCGACACAACCGCCACUAUCGGUAAUCUAUUCCCAAUUUACUUGUUUCUAGUAAAAGGCUAAAUUAGUCAGUGGAAAAUAGCCUUAGCGAUGGAUCGGUUGAUUCGCGUAUCGAUGAAAAACGCAGCUAGCUGCGUUAUUUACCACGAAUUGCAGACGCUUAGAGGUGGUGAAGUUUUGAACGCACAGCGCCGGUUGGGUUUUCCCUUCGGCACGUCUGGCUCAGGGUUGUGUAAUAGACUUCGAUAUUGCUAGGAAGGCAGCAAUAUCGUGCACCGAACGGAGAUAGUGUCUAUAAAAUAGUGGUGCAUACCCCGUUUUAGGGUAAAAUAAAGGUUGUAAACUGAAACUUCUUCCGCCCGAGAAGUUAUAGGUAAUACUUAUGGAUGUGCCAUGUAUGAAAUAUGACGUGGUUAUAUACAUAAAUAGUAUUUCCUUGAAGUCUCAUUAUGCAACCUGAGCUCAGUCGUGAUUACCCGCCGAACUUAAGCAUAUCAUUCAGCGGAGGAAAAGAAACUAACUAGGAUUCCCUUAGUAACGGCGAGUGAAA